rnacentral:tRNA from 1 species
AUAUUAUUUUUGGGUAAUAAAGAUCUCUGUAAAGAGUCUUACUGAUAGGGCUGCUUAG